rnacentral:rRNA from 1 species
UACGUAGGGGGCAAGCGUUGUCCGGAUUUAUUGGGCGUAAAGAGCGUGUAGGCGGCCAGGUAGGUCUGCUGUGAAAACUCGGGGCUUAACUCCGGGCCUGCAGUGGGUACGGGCAGACUAGAGUGCGGUAGGGGAGACUGGAAUUCCUGGUGUAGCGGUGAAAUGCGCAGAUAUCAGGAAGAACACCCGUGGCGAAGGCGGUUCUCUGGGACGGUACUGACGCUGAGACGCGAAAGCGUGGGGAGCGAACAGG